ACUGAUAUGGUAGACCUCUCCUCGUCAUCUCUCUCUGUUUCAAGGCUUCAAGCUCUCUCUCAUCGUUGAUCGGCACUACUUGAAUAAGGAAGGGGCUAUUACUUUUCGCAUACCAGAACAAGUAGAAUUAAAGCCUUUGCAUUGUGGGGUCAAAAUUCACAGCCAAAUUAGAAUUAUUGACAUGAAUUUCAUAUUAGAGAGUAAGAAUUACUCUAAUUACUCCAGGACAUGGUCAAGAGGAUUAUGUAACUGGACAGAAGUAUGUGCUACCCAUUCUUUCACCAGUAGAUGAGCAUGGGAUAUUCGUUGAAGAAGCUAGACAGUUUAGUGGGCUUGAUGUUCUUGGUGAGGGUAACACUACUAUUGUGAAAUAUUUGGAUGAAAAUCUGUCACAUAUCCUAGAAGAAUCAUAUGAAUACAAGUAUCCAUCUGAUUGGCGAACCAAAAAACCGACAAUAUUUAGAGCAACGGAGCAAUGAAUUACAUCAAUAGAGGGAUUUCGUGAUGCUAUUAUGGGUGCUAUUGGCCAUGUAAAAUGGGUUCCAGCUUAGCUAUUAUUGCCCAAAAAGGUAGUGAUGCAUGGUGGUACAUGACAGUUGAGGACCUUUUCCCAACUAAAUACUGAGACAGAGCAGCAGAAUAUGAGAAAGGAACUGACACAAUUGAUGUAUGGUUUGAUUCAGGUUCAUCUUGGGAUUUAGUCUUCAGGAAACAAGACUGCCUUAGCUUUCCUGUAGAUUUGUAUAUUGAAGGAACAGACCAACAAGGGUAGUUUCAGAGUUCGUUGUUAACAAAUGUAGCAAUAUAUUGCUUUUUCUUUUAUGAUAUGACAAUCUACUUCUUUGUUUGAUACAAUCUGAAGAAACAUUAUUAAUCUUAUUGACAUUAGUGAAACCCUGUGAUUGCUUAUACUUGAGUCUAUUUUUUAAUAGGAUCUCAAAUAAUAAGACAAUGUGCAAUAAAUCUAGCAUAGUUGUUGGUUUGUAA